UAAACAGUGAGUUCAAAAUCUGCACCUUCUUUGGGAGUGAUGGAAACGUUAGCUAAUUUGAUGUGGUGGUGGUUUCACAGAUUUAUAUACAUCUUUGAAA